rnacentral:rRNA from 1 species
UCAGUAGCUGCGAGCGAACAGGGAAGAGCCCAGCACUGAAUCCCGCGGCGACGCGGGAAAUGUAGUGUUUGGGAGGGUCCGCCAUCCCGAUGCUGUUUCGCGCGUCCAAGUCCUUCUUGAACGGGGCUACUUACCCAUAGAGGGUGCCAGGCCCGUAGCGACCGCGAACAGUCACGGGAGGACCUCUCCUCAGAGUCGGGUUGCUUGAGAGUGCAGCCCUAAGUGGGUGGUAAACUCCAUCUAAGGCUAAAUAUAACCACGAGACCGAUAGCGAACAAGUACCGUGAGGGAAAGUUGAAAAGAACUUUGAAGAGAGAGUUCAAUAGUACGUGAAACCGUUCAGGGGUAAACCUGAGAAACCCGAAAGUUCGAAUGGGGAGAUUCACCGCGUCUCCGGGCGGGCGUGCGGCGACGACCGCGACGGGCUGCGUUCGCGCGGUCCGCGCACGUCGCCGGCGAGCUCGCAAGGAACGCGUGCACUUCUCCCCUAGUAGGACGUUGCGACCCGUUGGGUGUCGGUCUAAGGCCCGCGAGGGAGCCCGCGCGUGUCGCUUCGGCGCACACGCACGGACCCGCGGUCGCCCGGCCGACAUGCCCGACGGUACGAUCACAUGGCGCGGAGCCGCCUCUAUGGCGUCCGGCGCGUCGCAAGCGCGGUCGGCAACCUGACGCUCGGACCUAGUGCCGACGCCGGGCCCGGCCGUCUGUUGGCGGCGCUGCUCUCGGACAGACUUCGUACACGCCGAUCGGCAACGCUUUAGCUUUGGGUACUUUCAGGGCCCGUCUUGAAACACGGACCAAGGAGUCUAGCAUGUGCGCGAGUCACUGGGAACGAACUAAACCCAAAGGCGAAGUGAAAGUACAGGCCGGCCUUGCGCCGGCUGAGGGAGGACGGGUCGCGUCCGCGCGGCCCCGCACUCCCGGGGCGUCUCGAUCUCAUUGCGAGAUGAGGCGCACCUAGAGCGCACACGCUGGUACCCGAAAGAUGGUGAACUAUGCCUGGUCAGGAC